rnacentral:lncRNA from 1 species
CUUAUUCUAUUUCUUUUAGGGCUAUGCGUGAAAAUGGUUGACAAGAAUUAAUGUUAUUUAAAUAUUUUAUUUUGGUUAACUCAUCCAAUAUCUAUGUUCUAGUUUCGUAUUUAGAGUUUAUUUGGUGUCCUUGUUGCUGUUGCUCUUAUUUUAGUAAGAUUGCCUCAUUUUAAUCUUGUUUUAUGAAUUAAUUAAUUUUUGGCCUUACUUGGUAUUGUUGUUGUUAUCAUCCUGGGAUUUUAUUUUUAUAUUGCGCAGAUUUUAAAUAUAUCUUCAAUGCUAUCAUCAAUACUAAAUACUCUCUCCGUUUUAUUUUAGUUGGCCCUAUGAACUUAGUACUCCCAUUAAGGAAUAAUUAAUAGAAUUUAUUUUUAUCAAAUUAGCCUUAUUAAUUAUGCUUUAAAAUAAAUAUAACUUAGAGUAUUUAUAUUUGUUUAGUCAUUUAAUGAUAUGAGUAGAAUGGAAAAAUAUGUGUAAAAUAAUAUUGAUUUUACAAUUGGGACAAGUAAUGCGAAACAAAUUUUUUUUUAAAUAAAAAGAGGGUCAACUAAAAAUAAAAAACGGAGAAAAUUUUAAUUAUACACAUGUUAUUUUUUUCGAAAAUUGAUACGUGUGUUACCAGCUAAUUCCGUUUAUGGCACCAGAGGUGCAUGAAAGGAAAGGGCAAAUAGUAGCAUCUUUUUUUUUUUUUUUGAUUAAAACGGGUGUUGAAAGAAAAAAAAAACAAAUAAUUGCUUUACUUUAUCUUUUUGCAUUAAAAGGGAUUUCAUUUCUUUAUCAAUUAAUUUUAAAGAUUUAUUGAUUUUUUUUUAAAGGAAAAGUUUUUUUAAAAGUCUAACUUCUUUCUUUCUUUCUUUUCAUAAGAUAACAAAUGUUGAGUAGCUUUGCCGUAAACUAGUGUUCUUCUUUAUUUGAAAUAUUUAACGAGAAAGGAUUACACUUAAUUAAAUUAUUAUUAUAUUGUUAUAAAAUGUUAGGAGAUAUAGGAAAAAUGUUCAAUUAAAAGUUAUGCUAUGAAAGGUUUUUAAAGGAAAGGGUAUUUUAUUUGACUUUGUCCAAAACUCAUUAUGUUUAUCACUAUGGAAAUACAAUGGAUUCUUUGUUGUUGUUGUUGUUGUUGUGGAGUUUGACAGAUAACAGGUUUGAAUAUUAUGAUAUGAGGUUUUUUUUUUUAUGAGGUUGGUUCACCUGUUCCUUGACAAGGAUUAAGUGUAUGUUUUCCCCCGAUGAAUUGUUAGAAGUCUUGUUAAUGUACUUUCUUUUUCAUGUUCAUUUGGAUUGAGUUGCCUGUUAUAUGAGACAAAAGCUGUUUACUUCGCAAAAUAUUUAUUCCCAAAUGUUUGUUCCUUAUAGGUAUAUGCUGAUUUAUUUUUGCGGUUUCAUUAAAAUUUAAUAUUCGAAUAUUCAUGUGGCAUGUAUUUCUUUCCGUUCAUUUUCCUUACAAUUAGUUUGGCACUUAAUCUUAAUUUUUCUUAUUUUUUCAUGUACACUCGGGAGUGUGUUUGGAGUCUCAUAGCAUGAUUCCAUCUCUGUUCAAAUCAGACAAGUGAGCAAACUGCAUUACGUAUCUCCUUCUAGUAGUCUUGUGCCUCCUUCCCUCUUUUCAAGCUUCUCUUCUUCCGUAGAAACCUAUUUCUUUUCUUUAUUUAAUAUUUCGUGCACUAUUAUUUAAAAGUUGUGUUUUUAUAUGUUCUUAUGUGAUUUCGUGUAGCGAAUUUUUAUCGUUCCCUCUUCGCCCGUUAGAUUUUAGACUUAGCAUAAUCACCAGACUUCGACAUUUAACUUACAUCAUUAAAAGUUUUAAAAUUUGUAGNNNNNNNNNNNNNNNNNNNNNNNNNNNNNNNNNNNNNNNNNNNNNNNNNNNNNNNNNNNNNNNNNNNNNNNNNNNNNNNNNNNNNNNNNNNNNNNNNNNNNNNNNNNNNNNNNNNNNNNNNNNNNNNNNNNNNNNNNNNNNNNNNNNNNNNNNNNNNNNNNNNNNNNNNNNNNNNNNNNNNNNNNNNNNNNNNNNNNNNNNNNNNNNNNNNNNNNNNNNNNNNNNNNNNNNNNNNNNNNNNNNNNNNNNNNNNNNNNNNNNNNNNNNNNNNNNNNNNNNNNNNNNNNNNNNNNNNNNNNNNNNNNNNNNNNNNNNNNNNNNNNNNNNNNNNNNNNNNNNNNNNNNNNNNNNNNNNNNNNNNNNNNNNNNNNNNNNNNNNNNNNNNNNNNNNNNNNNNNNNNNNNNNNNNNNNNNNNNNNNNNNNNNNNNNNNNNNNNNNNNNNNNNNNNNNNNNNNNNNNNNNNNNNNNNNNNNNNNNNNNNNNNNNNNNNNNNNNNNNNNNNNNNNNNNNNNNNNNNNNNNNNNNNNNNNNNNNNNNNNNNNNNNNNNNNNNNNNNNNNNNNNNNNNNNNNNNNNNNUGAAUAAGGAGUUGAGGGGACAUGUUCCCAACUAACUCCGUCUACUGAAAUAAACUGAAAACUGAAAUAUUGAUAUGAAUAAUAACAUAAUUGAACUCGAAGGAUGAGUACUCACUAUUAAUUACUGCUUCUAGCUGACUCUGAAAUUGCUAAGGGAGCUCUGGAUCCCGUGCAUCCAAACCUAUGGUGUAAGACACCAUAGCGUGAGAAAAGUAUGCAUUAGUACUUUGAAUGUACUAGUAUGCAAGUGAGGUAGGGUGAAUGCAUGGGGUUCAUAUGUAUAAACAAUACUGACUAACAUGAACGUGAGAAUACAUGCAUGAAUACAUAAUAACUGUAACUGAAACUGUACUAGUACUGGAUACUGAAUUCUGUGUACUGAUUUACUGACAUCUGAGUUUACUGAAUAAAGAGGAACUGAUGUUAUAUUAAUGAUAAAGAAAAUCACUGUUUCUGAUAGUUCUGAUUAUGAAGAAUUGAUCUGAUUAACCGUAUAUAACAGUCCUAAAACUGAGUUCGUGAUAACAUGACUACCGAGUAUGAAUACUGAUGACAUGUAUUUACUGAUAACAUAUCAUUACUGAUAACUGAAUUCUGAUAACUGAUAACAUGAGUUCUGAUAACUGAUAGCAUGAAUGACUAUAUCUGACAGUCCUGGAUCUGAUGGAACUAGUUGAGUUGCGUACUGUAUCUGAGUUGCCUGUAUCUGUCAGUCCUGAUAUCCUGAAGAACUAUCUAAGUUCUUUUACUGAGACUGAUACUAAAACUGUGGGAAGUAGUUAUCUAACCGACAUGCCCCAAAUACGCUAUAAUAGCUAAGCUGGGGUCCAAUCUUUGCCCUGAUUGGAAGGGUGUCAAUACUGCGCCCCUAGUAAGGACAAGCUGUGAGUGACCCUCAUCUGGCAGAUACUCUAAUGAGAACGGUGGGAAACCUCAUCUGACAGGUCAAGCCACCUCAUCUACCCUAAACUGACAGGUAUUGAUGUCUCAACCUAUGAAGGCUACAUAGUUCUGGAAUGCAAGGACUGCUUCUAAGAAUCACACCCUGUACUGGCACGUGAGAUCCCAUCCUUGGGUUCGCUAGGCACUGAAUCCUACUGCCAACUGAAUGACAUUGAACUGAUUAUACUGAACUGAUUUCCUAGUUCAUACUAGAAUUAACUCAACUGUUACUGAUUGUUCUGUUUAACUGAACUGAACAUGGACUGAUUUUAUAGAGUUUCGAUUACUAGCGAAACACUACUGAAUUCUGUUAACUGACUAAAUGCUACUGAGUUUUAUUAGCUGAUUGAGUUUACUGAUGUCUGAACUUAACACAGAACUAAACUGUACUGAUACUGAGAUUUACUGAAUUCCAUAGACUGGCGGAAUAUUACAGAGAUUAUGUAGAUUACUGAGUACUGAGUAAAUCUGAACUGAUACUGCCUUUUCAUGAGUUUUCCUGAGUCAUGAGACUGACUGAAGUCUACUGAACAUGGCUUGACUGAGAGUAUCGUGAAAACAUGACAUGUCUCUAGGCACCGAGCUAUAUUUUUGGGGUACAAGUACCCCCAGGACUCGAUGGAAGGAAACUGACACAUCAUGAAAAUUCUUGAUCAUAGGACUAAAGAUCCGCAAUUCAUAAUACCAUAAGUUGGGGAUUUCAUGAAAGCACUUGAUAAUUAUAAUCUUGUACAUGAAUAGGAAUGUAUCCUAACAUAUCAUAAUUUCACAAUUUUAAUUUUACUUGCAUGACAUGAACUUGUAUACAUGCUAACAUAAUGUAGUUUCAUUACUUAACUUUCAUGAACCAUUUGUCAAACACCUGCAAGACAUAGCAUCAACAUGGAAAUCAUUUAAAUCAUGUAGUAUUAACAUGAAUUCAUUAUUUAGAUCACCAAUAGAUCACAAGGCACAAUUCAUUCACUUGAACAUUUUCACAAACACAUGAAAGACAUGAUUUUAUACUUAGGCAUGUAUAACAUGCUCCCAAUUCAUGACCAUAACCACCAAUUCACAUCUCAAGGUUUUCAAUAUAUGAUGGUCAUGAUUCAACACACAUGGGAAGCAUAGAUAUUUCAUUCAUCAAUUAACAUAUAUCAAUAUUAUGGGUAUAACAUCCAACUUGCAAAUUCCAAGAACUCAACAUAAAUCUCAUAUGAAUUAUACCACAAAUUAAUUAGUUUUCAUGAUUCUUGAAAUAAAUCAUGGAAUUAAAACUCAAUUUAACAUCAACAACAUGAUUAUAAACAUCCCACAACAAAAUAUUCAUGAUACAUAACUUAAAACUUGAUUCUUGAGCUCCAUGGAUGAAAAGAAUCCAUGAAUGAACACUAUUCAUACCUUAGAUGAAUUAUCCGUGACAGUUAACGGUGAAAUUGGCUUGAAUCUUGAAACCCUCAAUUGAACCCUUACUUGUUCUUGAUAAUUUUUGAGAGAAUUUGAGAAAAAAGGAGUAUAUUCUGCUCUAAAUUAGGCUUAAUGCCGUGUUUGAGCAUAUAUAUAGGAUGGGCAAAAGACUAAAAUACCCCUAGAGAAAGAGAGAAAGACACAACUGUCCUAUCUUAUUUCCAAGCUGAUAGGCUGAAGUAAAUUGAUUAUAACUCUUUGCUCCGAUGUUUAAAUUGGAUGAAACCAAUUGCAUUCGAAAGAGGACUCAAAGAUCUUUUCAUAUAUAUUUAGCAGCUCUUACAAUUCAAAAUAUUCAAGAAGUGAUGAUCGUUUUAAAUUAACCCUGAAAGGCUGAAAAUUUUUGGAGCAUGCUAUAGAGCAUGCGAAGCAUGCAAAUGGCACGGUGCUUCUGUUUUGAAAUCGAAAAAUUCCCUUAACGGAUUCCAAAAAUUUUGAAACUCAUUUGAGAUGUACUCUUGACUUACCUGAUCACAACGCAACUUGAAAAUCCAAAAACGGAGAUCGAGAAGGUCGUCAAAUAAAUCCCCAAAGUUCGGAGGUAUAAGAUAAAACUAAGUGUUUCUAACACUUAGCAAAAUUCUUAUAAGUGUUAGAUUUCCUUAAUAAGCCUUAAGGAGUUGAAUUUCACUUAAGAUUUUUAUGGGGUCUUACAAUAUCUUCCCCUUAGAAACAUUCGUCCUCGAAUGAGACUUACUAAGAAGGGGAGUAGAGACCAACUGAGGCUUAUACUGAGCAUGAAUGACUGAAACAUGAUUUCAUGACUUACAUGACUGAUAAGCUGAAUUUGUAUCAAACUAAACAUACAUAUCUUAUGCAUGUGUAACUGAUUUAUGAAUGAAGGACUGAGUGUUCUGAUGAACUGGGUUUCUCCAAAUAAGAAUACAUAUCUUGUGUAUAACUAAUAAGCUGAAUUCAUGCAUAUCUGAUGCAUGAUUAUAUGACUGAACCGGCUUGUGAACAUGCGACUUAAUAUGCAAUAGUAAAAGAUGCCAAGUUUAACUAAAACUUGGGCAUGAAACUAAAUACCAAGUUUGGUACUGAAAUCUGAACAUGAGAACGAGUAAGUUUAAGGAAGACUGUUACAUUGAACUUAAAAUACCGAUGAGUCUAAGAUUAAUUACUCAAUAUGCAUGAGCGGAAAUGUGAGGACAUAACUGAGUCUGGAACGUGAUACAUGAAAUGAAUAUUAUGAUAUGAACUGAGCCUGUAAUGCGUGACAUGGAUAGAGUAUCGUGAACUAAACUGAGCCAUUGAGUAGAUAGCUUACGACUGAGAUUUAGAUUUAGAAGGCCAUCUUAUAAGUAACCCUUCCUCUAAGCUGGAUUCAUGACAUAAAGAGAGACCGGUAUGUUUGUGUCAUUACAGCUUGAGGGAUUAGAGUGUAUCUGCCCCUUGGGACACUAUGUCCCUUGAAGAAUGCUGCACUGCCUUUCCUGAAAUAUUGAGGAAAACUAGGGUGAUCCACAAGGCAUGUAGGAACUGAAUCGUGACAUAAUUAUCUAAUAUUUGGUACUGAGGCAUGAUACAUAAACUGGGUUAUACUCGCAACUACUAGGACACUCUAUCUUGGAAUAGUUACAUUCAAGCCUAUCAUUAAUACUGCACCCUUGUAUAAAAUAAUCAUGCAACAAUCUUCUCUUAACAUGAAAUAUUUUCUCUCUCCUAUCUAAGCAACCACUCAUCACUACACUAUUUUCAUAAAGAGAGCUGACUGAAGGGUUAAAUCAGGAGGACCUGAAGCAUGAAUCGAUACAAACUGAACUUGACACAUGACUGAAACCUGAGGAAUAUAAUAUCAACAACAUGAAUUUACAAAAAAGGUAAGAACUGAGGAUAUACAUGACAUAGUCUGAAUUUAUCUGAUCUGUAGGGGCAUAGCAUGAGUCAUGAAAGCUGAGUAUACUAUAAAGCAUGAUAUGUGUACAUGAGUCAUGAGCUGCAUGACCUAAGUUUCGAAUUUUUGUAUUUGUGAGACGUGAUUCAUGACACUGAGUGAUUUAGAUGACUCCCUAUGCUGGGAACUGAAAGCACACAUGAUUCUAUGGAAAACGCGUGAACAUAAGUCGUGUUCAUGAAAUUGAUUCAUACUAUGGGGUAAACUUAGAUCCUUUAUACUGGUAACUGAAACCGUACAUGAUUUAUGGAAAAGUGCAUGAUCGUGGUUCGUGACCUUAGAGUUGAUAUGUAAGACCUAAGUUGAUUUCAUGAUAGCUGAAGUACAAAUCUUUGUACUGAGAAGAGGAUGGGUUGGGAAUCGUCUUGCCUUACUGCAUUUCUAUAAUAAUGAAAAGUUAAGGUAUUUUUUAAAGUAAUUUUUCCUUAAAAAAAUUGAAGUAUAAAGAAGAAUUAUCCACUUUUUAGCAAAAAAUAUUUUAGAAUUUUGAAUUAAAUGUCUCAAAUCUUCAUAUUAAUAAUAUAAAACUUUUACAACAAUAACAAGUUAAUAUAAUGGAAACCAAUAUUGACUUAGCAUUUUAUUAUUUAGAAUUAAUCCUUACUUUUAUUAUAAUAAUCAUAUUAAUAAUAAUAAUAAUAAAAUAUUUAAUGUCUUUUAAUAAUACUAGAAUUUCUAUUAAAAUUUGGAUCUAGCCCACUUAUUUAAUACCCUUGCAACUGAAUGAUCAAAAACAUUUUGCAUACUUGCAAAACAAUGAGCUACAGAAGAACAAAUUAAUCAAGGCUAAAACCGAGCAAAACUAAAUGACUAUAUGCACUCUUUAUAAUCUUUACCCACACACAAAUAAGGGGUAUGAAGGAAGUUAAGUAGCCAACUUAUUUAAUACCCUUGCAACUGAAUGAUCAAAAAUAUUUUGCAUACUUGCAAAAAAUGAGCUACAAAAGAACAAAUUAAUCAAGGCUAAAAACCAGCAAAACUAAAUGACUAUAUACACUCUUUAUACAAAGUAGAUAUAAUCUUUACCCACACAAAUAAGGGGUAUGAAGGAAGUUAAGUAUGAAAGAAAAAAAAUACCAAAAUCCAUCAAAGGAUUCGAAUAUGUGACCAAAAAUUAUGAAAGGAAAAGAAAAAAAACGUAAAAAUCUUAAAUGUCAAUGAAGUUACCAACUAUUCUCUUUCAAUCAAUUUACUGCCAAUUUUUUCUUCGCGGUCCAUCUCUUCCUGCACACAUCUAUUGCCUCCAGCUUCAUUCUUUCGAGUUCUUGAAAGCAUUGUUGAUAUUGUGACUCAAUUGUAGCAAGCUCCAACUUUAACUCGACGUUGUCCAGAUCAUCUUUCUCUACUAACAGUAAAAAUGAACGAUUGCUAAAUAAUCUCAUGCAUUUAGAAUAUUUAUCUGUAUCCAUCAAGGUCACCUCCAGCUUUUUAAAUUCAUUUGAUAAUAUGUAGUCUACAUAAUCACCACCAUUUCGAUGUGACUUACCUUCAUGAUGAAACAAGCCCAUGAACUCUAGCUCUGAUAAGUAUCCACUAGAUCCUUUAGAGAUUAAAUGUGCACCUGUGAAGUAGUUGCCAAAUCCAAAUGAAUUCGAAGAAUCUUUGUGAAAUUCAAGCAUUACAGCUUGAUAAUCCAUGAACAAGGAAGAAGAAAGGAUAGAGUGUAGUUGGGAAUUUUAUUCUUCAUCGUCUGUACAUUACAACAUUGAAGCUAUUUAUAUACUUGAGCUAAGAUAGUGAGCUCAUUUCCAUCUUUGUGACAACUCAUCAUAACUUACUGACAACUUGCCUAACAACCUCUAAUAACUUGCUAUUGCUAACUGACUAACAAUCGAGAAUCUUCCAUAACCUUCCAUCCAAUAGAAAAGUUAGUUUUGUGUGGUUUUGUGCAGUGUGUAUUAUAUCUUGACAUCAUAUUUUGAGUUUGGAUCAAUAGUUAAAGCACGCCUCCUCAAGCUGCAGGGUGCAAUAUAUUCAGCACACCAAGCUUGCCUAAUUAAUGAGCAUGUUGGGCUUAGCUUAGUACCAUGGUAAGAAGGUCACCCACCUGGUCCUGAGUGUGAACAUGUAUAGAUUGUAUCAGUCCACUUUUGGUCUUGUCCCUAAUGAAAUGACAGUUAAUCUCUAUGUGUUUUGUUCUCUCAUGAAUCACAGGAUUGUUGGCCAAUUGAAUUGUUGAAUUGUUGUCACUAAAGACUGAUAUGGGCAAGGUAAUGGAAACCUUGAGUUCCUGGAGCAAACCAACCAACCAAGUUAUCUCUGCAACUNNNNNNNNNNNNNNNNNNNNNNNNNNNNNNNNNNNNNNNNNNNNNNNNNNNNNNNNNNNNNNNNNNNNNNNNNNNNNNNNNNNNNNNNNNNNNNNNNNNNNNNNNNNNNNNNNNNNNNNNNNNNNNNNNNNNNNNNNNNNNNNNNNNNNNNNNNNNNNNNNNNNNNNNNNNNNNNNNNNNNNNNNNNNNNNNNNNNNNNNNNNNNNNNNNNNNNNNNNNNNNNNNNNNNNNNNNNCUCCCAGUGUGAUCUCUUGGGAUGUUGCAUAAACUAGCUGAGAUGUGGACUGCACAACUAAUAUCUGAUCUUUUAAUAGUGGCAUACAUGAGUUUACCCACUAGUGUUUGAUAAGAAGAAGCAUCAGACAAUAAAUUAUCACCUUGUGCACCUGUGGCUUGAUCAUACUCAAGUGAUGUUAACCUUACAUUGGAUUCUAAGAGAGUGAUUUCAGGUUUUGAACCACUAAGACUAGUAUCUGAAAUUAAUUCUAGAAAAUACUUAUUUUUGUUUAAUAUCACCCCUGAAGUAGAAUUGAGGACUUCAAUACCUAAGAAGUAUUUGAGAUUCCCCAAGUCUGUCAUCUUGAAAUGCUGAUGUAACUUGGUUUUUGGUGCAUUAAUCAAUGCUGCAUUGCUUCCAGUAAGGAGUAGGUCAUCAACAUAAACAACAACAACUACUGUGUCAUCACCUUGAUGUAGAAUGAAGAGAGAAUAGUCAUGAGCACUCUGAGUGAAUCCAAUAUCAAGCAAAACAUGAGUCAGUUUCCGGUUUCAUUGUCUAGAAGCCUUGCUGAGUCUAUACAAGGAUUUGAGCAACUUGGAAACUUUGUGCUCUCCUUGGCUUGUGAAACUUUCUGGAAGUUCAAUUUACACUUGAUCUUCAAGAUCCCUUUGUAAAAAUGCAUUAUAGACAUCCAUUUAAUUAAGAGGCCAUCCUCUAGAUACUGCUACAACAAUCACACUCCUGACAGUAACCAUUUUUGCCACUGGUGAAUAUGUUUCAUGAUAAUCUAGCCCUUCUUGUUGGCAAUAUCCCUUGUCCACUAAUCUUUCUUUGAAACUUUCCACUUUACUAUUUGCAAGAUAUUUAAUCUUGUAUAUCCAUUUGGAACCAAUAGUGUUCUUUUCUUUGGGCAAGUCAACAAUGGUCCAUGUGUUAUUGGCCUCCAAUGCUUGGAUUUCUAAAUUCAUAGCUUCCACCCAUCUUUCAUCUUUUAUAGCUUGUUUAAAGUCUUGAGGCUCAGUCAGAGUGGAGAACUUUAACAAGUGCCACUAAUAUGAAGGUCUCAAUUUACUGUAAGACAGGUUGUUGGCUAAGGGGUGCUUGCAUCUUUGGGUUUUUGAAGUGUCAGCAUAAUCAUGCAUCCACACAGGUGGCCUGCUUAUUAUUGUUGGUCUAUUGGAAGAGGGUUAAGGCAGGAAACGGUCAUCUUGACAUGUUUUUUCAUGAGUGGUGUCAGGUGAAACAGCACCAGGUACUGCAACAUUAGAGGAAGCUUAAGUCAGAGAAGGCUCAUCUUAGCAGUCAGCUUCAGUAUUUGCAUCAGAGAAAGGUACAUUAGGUGGUGCAGCAUUAGGAAAAUCAGCAUCAUUAACGUGAAUAUCCUCUAAAGGAAUAUCAGUACCAACUUCAAUAUCUGUGGAUACCAGGAAGUCAUUGAUGUCUUUAUUAGUUUGGGAAGCAUUUGGAUGCUGUAAUUUUGCUUGUGAUGGAUCAAAGGGGAAUGAAUCUUUAUGAAACACAACUUCCCUACUCACUAAUAGUAUUUUUGAGUGGAUGUCCAGUAGCAAGUAACCCUUCUGAGACUGUGAAUAUACUACUAACAUGGCAGGUUUAUCUCUUUUAGAGUACUUUUCACCUUUAGGGACAAUAGUCACAUAACACAGACAUCUAAACACCCACAAAUGAGAUAGCUUGGGAUCCUUGGAGAAUAACAACUGAUAUGGGCUCUUACAACUCAAGACUGAGAUUAGUAACCUGUUCACAAUAUAUACUACAGGUUUCACACAUAAUCCCUAAUACUUGAUGGGCAAGUGGGACUCAAACUUAAGAGCUCUAGCUAUAUUUAAUAUGUGUUUGUGCUUCCUCUCAACCACUCUAUUUUGUUGUGGAGUAUGAGGACAACUAGUCUGAAGUAGAAUACCUGUAUGUGACAUUGAGUAUCAACUCAGUCCCAUUAUCAGAUCUAAUAGCCUUUAUCACCACUCCAAACUGUGUUCUAAUCAUGGAUAUGAAUCUCUUAAUAGCUAAUAUGGUCUCAGAUUUUUGAUUCAACAGAUGAAACCAAGUAUAUCUACUAUAAUCAUCCACCAUAGUCAAGAAAUAACACUUAUUAUCAAAUGUAGAUGUUAUAUAAGGACCCCAUAAAUCCAGGUAUACAAGUUUAAAACAUGCAAAACAUUUAGUAGUACUUAUAGGAAAUAACAUUCUUGUUUGUUUAGCUAGUGGACAUACACUGCAUUUAUUCAACAGAUUUAUAUCACUGUGAUUCGUCAAAAUGUCUAAGUAUCUUAAAACCUGAGAAGUUGGGUUCCCAAGUCUUUGGUGCCACAAUCUGCAACUGGGAACAAUAGCUUCUGUAAUGAAUCUGUUGUGUUUUGGUCCUACAUGAUCAGUAUUAUUGUCGACACACAAUUUUGGCUCUCCUUUUCAUAAAAUUAAUUUCUCGAUGCUUAGAAUUUUUGAAUUUUUUUUCUUUUUUCUUCUUCUAAAUAGUCAACGUUAACAAUUUGAAAAUGAUAUUUUUUUUACUAAUAUCGAACCUCACAAAUUUAAUCAAUAAUAAAUAAAUAAAUAAAUUUUAAAUUAUCAUUUCACAAUUUUAUUUUAUUUUUUAAAAAAUGAAUAAAAAAACAUAUGUUAGUAUAUUAACAUAAUAUUAACUAUAUUAUUAUAUUUUUUUGCAAUAUUUACACUAUAUUUUAUUUAAUUAUAUAGAUAUAUAUAUUUAAAUUUUUGAUAAAAUUAAUAACCAACGAUGAAUUAGUCAAGUUGAAAUGGAUCAACGAGAAUUAAAUAAAUUCAUUGAUCCGAUUCGGCCAAAUUCUUUAAUUAAAUUUAGCCCUUUGAAAUGUAGGAAGACCAGCCCCAAAACUCAUUUUACUAGCCCAAACCAAACUCGUUGGCCCAGCUCACCUUACAACAUCAAAGAACAACAACAUCAGCAAUAUGACCAACACAAUCCUAAAAAGCCUCUCUUCACGUGAAAUUCAACCAAACACACUUCAAUCACGGAAAGUCCACCGAAAAUUUUGACUUUUGAAGAGCCCAUCUUUGAAAAGGAAAACUUUGGUGCUCAUUUUCUUUCUUCCUUUUUUUUCGUUUGAUUUGAAUUUUGAAUUUUGUGAUACAUGAAGAAGUCGUUACAGCCCUUUUUCCCCUAAAAGGGGAGUCUUCUUCACAAUAAAAGGGUGAAAAGAGAUCAAUUCGCCAGGGGCCUGCUAUUUUUUCCUUGUUUAUUUGAAGUUCGAGUCUUUGAGUUGAAGCCCUAGUUCGUUUCUCCACACAAGGUCAGUAAUCGCCUUCAUCUUCACAUUUUUUGUUUUAGUUUUUUUUUUAAAUAAAAUACGAUUAUUUAUAGCUUCUUGUCAUUUAUCUCAACUCUGCCUAUCUGGAUCCGUUUGCUUAUUCUAUUUCUUUUAGGGCUAUGCGUGAAAAUGGUUGACAAGAAUUAAUGUUAUUUAAAUAUUUUAUUUUGGUUAACUCAUCCAAUAUCUAUGUUCUAGUUUCGUAUUUAGAGUUUAUUUGGUGUCCUUGUUGCUGUUGCUCUUAUUUUAGUAAGAUUGCCUCAUUUUAAUCUUGUUUUAUGAAUUAAUUAAUUUUUGGCCUUACUUGGUAUUGUUGUUGUUAUCAUCCUGGGAUUUUAUUUUUAUAUUGCGCAGAUUUUAAAUAUAUCUUCAAUGCUAUCAUCAAUACUAAAUACUCUCUCCGUUUUAUUUUAGUUGGCCCUAUGAACUUAGUACUCCCACUAAGGAAUAAUUAAUAGAAUUUAUUUUUAUCAAAUUAGCCUUAAUAAUUAUGCUUUAAAAAAAAUAUAACUUUGAGUAUUUAUAUUUGUUUAGUCAUUUAAUGAUAUGAGUAGAAUGGAGAAAUAUAUGUAAAAUAAUAUUGAUUUUACAAUUGGGACAAGUAAUGUGAAAAAAAUUAUUUUUUUAAAUAAAAAGAGGGUCAACUAAAAAUAAAAAAUGGAGAAAAUAUUAAUUAUACUCAUGUUAUUUUUUUCGAAAAUUGAUACGUGCGUUACCAGCUAAUUCCGUUUAUGGCACCAGAGGUGCAUGAAAGGAAAGGGCAAAUAGUUGCAUCUUUUUUUUUUAAAAUUAAAAAGGGUGUUGAAAGAAAAAAAAUCAAAUAAUUUCUUUACUUUAUCUUUUUGCAUUAAAAGGGAUGUCAUAUCUUUAUCAAUUAAUUUUAAAGCUUUAUUGAUUUUUUUUUUUUAAAAGGAAAAGUUUUUUUAAAAGUCUUAACUUCUUUCUUUCUUUCUUUUCAUAAGAUAACAAAUGUUGAAUAGCUUUGCGGUAAACUAGUGUUCUUCUUUAUUUGAAAUAUUUAACAAGAAAGGAUUACGCUUAAUUAAAGUACUAUUAUAUUGUUAUAAAACGUUAGGAGAUAUAGGAAAAAUGUUCUAUUAAAAGUUAUGCUAUGAAAGGUUUUUAAAGGAAAGGGUAUUUUAUUUGAUUUUGUCCAAAACUCAUUAUGUUUAUCACUAUGGGAAUACAAUGGAUUCUUUGUUGUUGUUGUUGUUGUUGUUGUUGUGGAGUUUGACAGAUAACAAGUUUGAAUAUUAUGAUAUGAGGUUUUUUUUUAUGAGGUUGGGUCACCUGUUCCUUGACAAGGAUUAAGUGUAUGUUUUCCCCCGAUGAAUUGUUAGAAGUCUUGUUAAUGUACUUUCUUUUUCAUGUUCAUUUGGAUUGAGUUUCCUAUUAUAUGAGACAAAAGCUGUUUACAUCGCAAAAUAUUUAUUCCCAAAUGUUUGUUCCUUAUAGGUAUAUGCUGAUUUAUUUUUGCGGUUUCAUUAAAAUUUAAUAUUCGAAUAUUCAUGUGGCAUGUAUUUCUUUCCGUUCAUUUUCCUUACAAUUAGUUUGGCACUUAAUAUUAAUUUUUCUUAUUUUUUCAUGUACACUCAGGAGUGUGUUUGGAGUCUCAUGGCAUGAUUCCAUCUCUGUUCAAAUCAGACAAGCGAGCAAAUUGCAUUACGCAUCUCCUUCUAGAAGUCUUGUGCCUCCUUCCCCCUUUUCAAGCUUCUCUUCUUCCGUAGAAACCUAUUUCUUUUCUUUAUUUAAUAUUUCGUGCACUAUUAUUUAAAAGUUGUGUUUUUAUAUGUUCUUAUGUGAUUUUGUGUAGCGAAUUUUUAUCGUUCCCUCUUCGCCCGUUAGAUUUUAGACUUAGCAUAAUCACCAAACUUCGACAUUUAACUUACAUCAUUAAAAGUUUUAAAAUUUGUAGUUUAAAAGAUAUCUUUAGAAUAAUGACCAAGUUUGUUAGAAUCCUUUUAAUACUUCUUUAAUACGAAAUGGUAGCUUAUCUUUAGAAUAAUGUUAGUUUCUUAUUAGGUAAUAAUUUGGAAAUCCUUUAAAUAUAAAUUUGUGGUAGAUAGGCAUAUUAUUACUUAUUUGGAAAACCGGCUUUACUAAUUUUAGAUACGGCAAAUCAAAGUUUAUUUUUAAUAAAAAAUGACAUUUCGCAAGUCCCUUUUAAGUAUUCCUAAUAACAAUAAAAAAUAUUUUAUCGGAAUAAAUAAUAAAUUCUUAAGUCAUUAUAUAUUUAAACAACUAUAUAAUUUACUGUAACGCCUCGAUUUUCUGAACUGAAACGCUACACGGUGCCCAUGACCCCGAAGGACCACAAACUAACCCAUGACUUAUAUCUAUACUUGAGCACUAAAUAACCAUACUGUGAAAUAUGCGAAAACAUAAUACUGUAAGGCCAUAAGGAUCAAAUCUGAAUAAACAUCUGAUAAAAUAAUAUCUAAAAAUGGUAUAACAAUACCAACAUAAAUCUGAAAUAAUUCUCUAACAUGCUGUAGACUGAAAACCCCUAAACUGAAAUAAAUAAGGAGUUGAGGGGACAUGUUCCCAACUAACUCCGUCUACUGAAAUAAACUGAAAACUGAAAUAUUGAUAUGAAUAAUAACAUAAUUGAACUCAAAGGAUGAGGACUCACUAUUAAUUACUGCUUCUAGCUGACUCUGAAAUUGCUAAGGGAGCUCUGGAUCCCAUGCAUCCAAACCUAUGGUGUAAGACACCAUAGCGCGAGAAAAGUAUGCGUUAGUACUUUGAAUGUACUAGUUUGCAAGUGAGGAAGGGUGAAUGCAUGGGGUUCAUAUGUAUGAACAAUACUGACUAACAUGAACGUGAGAAUACAUGCAUGAAUACAUAGUAACUGUAACUGAAACUGUACUAGUACUGGAUACUGAAUUCUGUGUACUGAUUUACUUACAUCUGAGUUUACUGAAUAAAAAGGAACUGAUGUUAUAUUAAUGAUAAAGAAAAAGACUGUUUCUGAUAGUUCUGAUUAUGAAGAAUUGAUCUGAUUAACCGUAUAUAAUAGUCCUAAAACUGAGUUCGUGAUAACAUGACUACCGAGUAUGAAUACUGAUGACAUGUAUUUACUGAUAACUGAAUUCUGAUAACUGAUAACAUGAGUUCUGAUAACAGAUAGCAUGAAUGACUGUAUCUGACAGUCCUGGAUCUGAUGGAACUAGUUGAGUUACGUACUGUAUCUGAGUUGACUGUAUCUGUCAGUCCUGAUAUCCUGAAGAACUAUCUGAGUUCUUUUACUGAGACUGAUACUAAAACUAUGGGAAGUAGUUAUCUAAUCGACAUGCCCCAAAUACGCUAUAAUAGCUAAGUUGGGGUCCAAUCUUUGCCCUGAUUGGAAGGGUGUCAAUACUGCGCCCCUGGUAAGGACAAGCUGUGAGUGACCCUCAUGUGGCAGGUACUCUAAUGAGAACGGUGGGAAACCUCAUCUGACAGGUCAAGCCACCUCAUCUACCCUAAACUGACAGGUAUUGAUGUCUCAACCUAUGAAGGCUACAUGGUUCUGGAAUGCAAGGACUGCUUCUAAGAAUCACACCCUGUACUGGCAGGUGAGAUCCCAUCCUUGGGUUCGCUAGAUUCAGCCAACUGAAUGACAUUGAACUGAUUAUACUGAACUGAUUUCCUAGUUCAUACUAGAAUUAACUCAACUGUUACUGAUUGUUCUGUUUAACUGAACUGAACAUGGACUGAUUUUAUUGAGUUCCAAUGACUAGCGAAACACUACUGAAUUUUGUUAACUAACUAAAUGCUACUGAGUUCUAUUAGCUGAUUGAGUUUACUGAUGUCUGAACUUAACACAGAACUAAACUGUACUGAUACUGAGAUUUACUUAAUUCCAUAGACUGGCGGAAUAUUACAGAGAUUAUGUAGAUUACUGAGUACUGAGUAAAACUGAACUGAUACUGCCUUUACAUGAGUUUUCCUAACUCAUGAGACUGACUAAAGUCUACUGAACAUGGCUUGACUGAGAGUAUCGUGAAAAUAUGACAUGGCUAUAGGCACCAAGCUAUAUUUUUUGGGUACAAGUACCCCCAGGACUCGAUGAAAGGAAACUGACACAUCAUGAAAAUUCAUGAUCAUAGGAUUAAAGAUCCACAAUUCAUAAUACCAUAAGUUGGGGAUUUCAUGAAAGCACUUGAUAAGUAUAAUCUUGUACAUGAAUAGGAAUGUAUCCUAACAUAUCAUAAUUUCACAAUUUUAAUUUUACUUGCAUGACAUGAACUUGUAUAAAUGAUAACAUAAUGUAGUUUCAUUACUUAACUUUCAUGAACCAUUUGUCAAACACCUGCAAGACAUAGCAUCAACAUGGAAAUCAUUUAGAUCAUGUAGUAUUAACAUGAAUUCAUUAUUUAGAUCACCAAUGGAUCACAAGGCACAAUUCAUUCACUUGAACAUUUUCACAAACACAUGAAAGACAUGAUUUUAUACUUAGGCAUGUAUAACAUGCUCCCAAUUCAUGACCAUAACCACCAAUUCACAUCUCAAGGUUUUCAACAUAUGAUGGUCAUGAUUCAACACACAUGGGAAGCAUAGAUAUUUCAUUCAUCAAUUGACAUAUAUCAAUAUUAUGGGUAUAACAUCCAACUUGCGAAUUCCAAGAACUCAAUAUAAAUCUCAUAUGAAUAAUACCACAAAUAAAUUAGUUUUCAUGAUUCUUGAAAUAACUCAUGGAAUUAAAACUCAAUUUAACACCAACAACAUGAUUAUAAACAUCCCACAACAAAAUAUUCAUGAUACAUAACUUAAAACUUGAUUCUUAAGCUCCAUGAAUGAAAAAAAUCCAUGAAUGAACACUAUGCAUACCUUAGAUUGAUUAUCCGUGAAAGUUAACAGUGAAAUUGGCUUGAAUCUUGAAACCCCCAAUUGAACCCUUACUUGUUCUUGAUAAUUUUUGAGAGAAUUUAAAAAAAAAAGAGUAUAUUCUGCUCUAAAUUAGGCUUAAUGCUGUGUUUGAGCAUAUAUAUAGGAUGGGCAAAAGACUAAAAUACCCCUAGAGAAAGAGAGAAAGACACAACUAUCCUAUCUUAUUUCCAAGCUGAUAGGCUGAAGUAAAUUGAUUAUAACUCUUUGCCCCGAUGUUUAAAUUGGAUGAAACCAAUUGCAUUCGAAAGAGGACUCAAAGAUCUUUUCAUCUAUAUUUAGCAGCUCUCACAAUUCAAAAUAUUCAAGAAGUGAUGAUCGUUUUAAAUUAACCCUGAAAGGCUGAAAAUUUCUGGAGCAUGCUAUAGAGCAUGCGAAGCAAGCAAAUGGCAUGGUGCGUCUGUUUUGAAAUCCAAACAUUAGCUAAACGGAUUCCAAAAAUUCUGAAACUCACUUGAGAUGUACUAUUGACUUCGCCGAUCACAACACAACAGGAAAAUCCAAAAACGGAGGUCCGGAAGGUCGUCAAAUAAACCCACGAAGUUCGGAGGUAUAAGAUGAAACUAAGUGUUUCUUACACUUAGCAAAAUUCUUCUAAGUGUUGCAUUUCCUUAUCAAGCCUUAAGGAGCUGAAUUUGACUUAGGAUUUUUACGGGGUUUUACAUUUAUCUAUUCAUGUAGAGUAAGGUAAGUGACUUACUAUUUUAUAAAAUUUGAUAAAUUAAAAAAAACAGAAGGGUAAUCCUUUAGAAUAAAUUUUUAUUAAUUUUUAGUUAGAAGCUUUAUUUUAUUUUAUUUUUAUUUAUGGUGAGGAUGUUCUAAAAUAUUUUCUAAUCUUUAUAAGUAGCAUAUAUUAUCUUAUGAAAGACAAAAAAAUAAUAAUUUUUAAUGCCUUAUAUAUAUCUUUUCUUAAUUUAAUAUUUGAUUUUAUUAUCUAAUCUAAGUUUGGCCGGUUAACCGUAGUUAGCGGAUCCUUUAGGGUGCCUAAUUCCUUCCCUUUAGGAUAAAUAGAAUCCUUACCUAGAAUUUUAGGUUUUGCAGACCUUAAAAUGAAGUCAUUAUUUAUUUUAAUCUCAUAGGUUGUAAUAGGUGUCCUAAUUCACCGUAGAACUAAUUAGGUGUCGACUUCCUUAAAUUUAACUCCGAAGUUUUGCAAUACGUUGUACACUAUUUGGACCCAUGUUAAAAUGGGUAUAACAAUUAUUUUUCCAUUCUAGUUUAUGAACAUAUAGUCCACCCUCUUGUCUACCAAUCCCCUUCACCUGGUCAUUGAAGAGGUCCGGAAAUACACAGAAAUAAUGAUAAAAGGAAACAAAGCAUGACAGUUCCUUGGUUAUCUUAGCAACAAACAACAGAUUUAGUCAAAAAUAUGGAACAAAGAGGACAUCUUUGAUCACAUCAUCUGUAAAUAUAUAGGCUUCUCCAGUGUGGGAAAUUUUGACUUCAUCACUUAUUGAGUAAUAUGAAGCUGAAACAAGUUGUGGACAAUAUCAAAGGUAUCAAGAAUAGAAUUGGGAUUCAAGUAACUCACUAUUUUCGGGUGGUCAUUGAAGAGGUCCGGAAAUACACAGAAAUAAUGAUAAAAGGAAACAAAGCAUGACAGUUCCUUGGUUAUCUUAGCAACAAACAACAGAUUUAGUCAAAAAUAUGGAACAAAGAGGACAUCUUUGAUCACAUCAUCUGUAAAUAUAUAGGCUUCUCCAGUGUGGGAAAUUUUGACUUCAUCACUUAUUGAAAGGUGCAAUUUGUCCAAGUGUCUUGGAACCAGGAUGGUGCUGUCUUUGAACAAGUGUCUAUGGGCAGACACAUGAUGUGUAGCUCCUGAAUCUACAAUCCAACUGUCAGAACAAUCCUCGGAUUAAAAACAAGUGGUAAUACCUGUCAUAUUGACUUGUUUCAUAUCCUUAGUAUCCUUGUUCAACAUGUUCAUGAUUUGAGUGUACUCUUCAUCUGUGAAUAUAUGAGGUUUUGCAACUGGUGCAGAAUUCACAUCAUGACUAGAACUGGCAGCAUCACCUUGUCCUACUACCAUGCUUGCAAUUUGAGAAGACUUGCUACCAGUGCUAGUAUAAUUAUUACCCCUAUUAUGUGGUGAGAAAUUUUUACCACCGCCAUUAUGUGACCUGAAAUUUUGAGGAGUAUAACCUUGUUUUUGUUGCAGUUAUCUACUUGUAUCCUAGUUUUAGAAGAACUCUAUUUUAUAUUUAUUCUUGUACUUAUCUGUUAGACAGAUGUCUGGGUAAUUGAUUUAAAAAAAAAUAAAGAACAAAGUAACAAAAUCAAAUAUUACCGAUGUUUUUAGAUUGAGGAAUAAUGGAUUUUUGAUUUAUUGAGAAAUGGGUUUUCUAGAAAAUCACACUAUUGUAUCUUCCGUCUCUAGAUGUAUUAGUAUUGUUUAUUAGACUAUUCUAAUAAUUGAUUUCUUAUAGAUUAAUAUGUGUAUUUAUCCUCAAUCUGUUAAAUUGAAUUGCAGACAGCUCUAAAAUUUCCUCAUCUCAGACCACCACUACCUCUGCUCAAAUUGCCAUAAACCAAUCUUCUCUUGGCUUUCCAAAUCCCCCUCCAAUAGUUUCCAAUAUCAAAGGUUUUGUUUUUAUUGAAUUGACAUACGUCAACUACCUUACUUGGAAGAAAGUUUUUCUCACCGUCCUUAAAAGUCACAAUCUUCUUUCCUUAGUAGAUGGAACCAUACCAUGUCCACCACCAGAACACGCUGACUUCAGGCUAUGAAUUCAGUGUGAUACUAUUGCACUAAGUUAGAUUAAUGCAACCCUCUCUUCCGCUGUUCUUGACACACUUUUUAACUAUACUUGUGAAACAUCAAAACAAGCUUGGGACACCUUAGCCUCCCAAUAUUUAGAUCAAGUCUCUUCCUCUAUAAUUCAACUCAAGUCUAAAUUCCAAAACUUCAAAAAAGGGUCCCUUUCUAUGGAGGAUUAUCUUCAAAAACUUCACUCGAUUUCCUGCUCUCUCAGAGCAAUUGGUAAACCUGUAACUCAUGAUGAUCUAGUCACUCAAGCGCUACAAGGAUUACCUUCAUCUUAUCUUACCUUUGUGUCUGGAUUAAAUGCUACUGGAGCACUUCUUUCCUUCAUUGCAUUACAAUCACUCCUUCUUACUGAAGAAGCUCACAUUAAUGCAAAUACUUAUGAAGAGUCAAAUUCUCAAACUGCUUUGUUGGUGGCCACUCAAGGCAAUAAUAAUUCUAAUUUAUCAUCAUCUGUUAAUGGAAAUCAGCCAUAUCAGUCAUCCGUUAAUGGAAAUCAAUCUACAAAAGGACACUACAAUGGACGAGGCCAUGGUAGAAAUAAUAAGGGUCAACAUGGUAGAGGCCGAGGUUACCAGAACUCUUCAUGGUCUAGUUUCCAACAACAUUGUCGGCUUCCUCCCCUGGUACUGGUAUUUUGGGUAAAUCUACUUCCUCUCACGUUAAGUAAUGUCAAAUUUGUUUUCACUAUAAUCACACUGCGUUGGAGUUUAGAAACAGGUUCAAUCAUUCCUUUGUGUCUAAUAAUAUUCCUCAAUCAUUUGCUGCCAUGAAUUUAGCGGAGGUUCAACCAACAAUUUGGUAUCCAGACUCUGGGGCAUCUACACACAUGACUCCUGAUCCUUCUACUCUUACUUCUCACACUUCUUAUUCUGGUUCUUCUCAAGUUAUUGUUAGAGAUGGUACUCUUCUCCCAAUUAAAUCUAUUGGCUCUUCUACUCUUUCAACAACCUCUAAACCUCUUCUUUUAAAGAAUGUAUUAUAUGUCCCAACCCUCACUAAAAAUCUACUUUCUAUUCAACGCUUAUGUGUGGAUAAUAAUUGUUUUAUUCACUUUACUGACUCUAGUUUUUUUGUCAAGGACAUGAAGACCGGAAUAUUUGGUAUUGUCAAGGAUAAUAAUAGAGUAUCAGCCUCGUUUGGCCUACAUAGCCUGAUACUCUAUGUUCCUUCCUAGCAGAUAUAUUUGGUAUUGUCCCACUAAGCCUAAAUGGAUGGCUUCUAGUCAUCUUGCUUUCUGCACCAGUUAUUCUUAUUGAUGAAGUCCUCAAAUUUGUGGGGAGUAGGAGAAGAAGAACUAAACUAAAAGCUGCAUAAUGUAUUUGUAUAUGCUUGAUUUUAUUGAUUAAAGGAGGUUUUCUUUGAGUAGAUAUGCAAGUUAUGUGGGAAUUCAUGUAUAUUUUCCAGAAAUGAAAAUCUUUUUGGGGUGACAUUGUUGAGGAACUCUGGACGCUAUGUCGCCUGCACAUGCCUUGGAAGGCUUCUUGUUACCACAAAAUUCAAGGUUUCUGAAGCAAAACCUGUUGUUUUUUACCUGAUCCUUUCUAAGAGGUUUUUUCAUGUAUUAUAAGUUCUAGUUUGUAUUAUUCUUUUAUAAUUGUCUCUGCCAUCUUACGCAGAUUUUCAUGGACUUAAGUGACCGUUUUUGGUUUGGUGCUUUAACAUGUAUAUUUCCUCAGUCAUUGCUAUAGUUGUAGUUCUCUCUUUUCUUUUCGUGUUGCUGUUAGUGCGGAACUAGUGAUGACAGCAAGGAGGGAGUUGGACACUUCAAGCUUUACCACACCCUGAUUUUCAGAAACAUUCAUAGCUUGAAUUGUUUGUGAUUCAAGUUGGUGGUAAGGAGGAAAUUACUUCACUAGAGACAAAAUAGGAAGGGGAGAAAUGUAGGUCCAAAAACCGUUCAGAUUUUUUUACUACAAUUCUAUUCAACCAUAGAAUCCAAAUCAAUAUCAAUGUUGCUUACAACAAAUUUGAAUCUAGUGGUGCCUUCAGAAGUGCAUGUAUCUCAUUUGAUUUUGGAUGGUAUUUAUCCUCUACUACAAACUUAUGAAUAUCACCUCCUUCCUCGAUGAAGCUGUACCCUGCUGCUUUUGUAAUCUGGGAGGACUUCAUCAGUUUCCUAAACCUUGGAACACCAUCCCACAGACCAGCUCUUGCAUAUAUAUUUGAGAGAAUAACAUAAUUCCCAAGAUUCCUUUGCUCCAACAAAGAAAGGAAUUCGACUGCUUGUUCAGCCAGUUCAACAUUGCCAUGGAAACUACAGGAUCCAAGCAGAUUUCCCCAUAUAACAUUAUCAGGUCUCAUUGGCAUGCUUUGUAUAAGAUCAUAAGCUUCCUGCAAUCUCCCAGCCCGGCCUAAGAGAUCAACCAUACAGCCAUAGUGUUCUAAUUUUGGAGCUAUGGAGAAUCUUCUCUCCAUCACUUUUGAGGAUUUCCCAGCCCUUCUCCACCAUGCCAGCAUGUGUGCAUGCUAAGAUUGCUCCAACAAAUGUUACAUCAUCAGGUGCAUUUCCUUCUCCCUGUGUGAUACAAGUCAAAAAUACUAAAAUUGAAACGUCACACAAAUAAUGGAAAACACUAAAAACAAAGAAACAAGAUAGAAAAUAAAAUGGAUAGAUAGAUUGACACAAUGAGAUAAAGAGAGGACAAUCUAAGGGUAUAUCAAACCCGAAGACCUUCCUAUUGAAAUGUCACAAGCACCAACCUCUUACGGGGACCUCGCGGGAAUGGACCCGAGCAACCCACGUUUCUCACAUUCAAUGUAACUCCCAACAAGUUACAACUAAACACUCUCAAGCGUAUUUUAAUUCAUCAUUCAAAAUCAUCUCCUUAAAAUGAAGACAAACUAGCUAUUUAUAGGCCAUGGGUCUUUACUACACAAUGGGCCCAAAAGUGACCCUAAAAGCUAUUGGGCCCAAAAGUGACCCAAAGCCCAAAAUAAUGUCAUGGGCAUCCAUGCUCUCUCAAAGCCCACGCAGUCUUCCAAACAAGUCGUGGCUCAAUGCUCCCGUGAUGACAUCAUAAAAUGUAGCUUCUCCCGCGCUCCAAGAUAUCAUCCACACAUGUAUUUGUUCCCCUAAGACAACCAAAUCUUGGAUCCAUAGAUGUGAUCCUUGAAGCAUCAAUCCCAAAGGAGUGGAGCCUAAUGAUCUUGUAUCACUGUGUCGACAGCACAACACUCGUGUAAAUUCCAAUAUAAAAGCUCAUGCUUGCUGCUGUAAUUGGAUGUUUGAUAAGCUCAACAACGGUAAAGAGGAACAAAGAGAAUAUUUGCAAAGGGUUACCAGCAUUUGAUUGAAAAGUUUAAGAGCUUAAUCACUUUUUCCAUGGACAGCUAACCCCAUGAUCAUGGUAUUCCAAGAACACAAGUUCCUCCUCCUACCAAUCUCCUGAAAGAGUUGCAUUGCCCUAUCAAUUCUAACACACUUUGUAUACAUUUCAAGCACAGCAUUACAAACAAACAUAUUCUUAAAGUAUCCACUUGCUCUUGCAUAAACUUUAAUCUUCUCCCCAACCUCCAGUGCCAUAAGAUUCGCACAAGCUAAAAGAACACUAGAAAUCUUAACUUCAUUAGGCUUUACCCCUCCAGCUUUCUCCAUUUCCUUGUAAACAGGUAGUGCAUCCACAUACUUCCUAUUUUAUGAACAUCCACAGAUCAUCAGAGUCAAAGAAAUCACAUUCCUCAAAGGCAUUUCCGAAAACAACUUGAAAGCUUCUUCCACAUUUCCAUUCUUGGCAUACCCCGCAAUCAAAGAAUUCCAAGUAGGCACAUCCUUCGUUUCAACCCCAUUUUAGCAUAUAUGUCAACAAGUGCAUUUAACAUGUAAAUUUCAAAUUCAAAACCCCAUUUGAUGAAACGAACAUGAACAUUUAGCUUUGAAUGGGGCUAGAACGAUUGGCGCUUGCGGCGAAGAGGAACGUGAAGGAGUGUGGUUAGGGGAGCAGCCUUGACAGCGCAUCUGGAUAUAGAGAGAGAAACACUGGUUAGAAAGCCCAUGAGAAGAAUAGGCUUGAAUGAGCUUGUUGUAGAGGAAGACGGUUUGGUAGUAUUGUCAAACUCCGUGGGCAUACAGGAUGUUUGGGAUUUCAGCAAGUUUGUAAAGUCAAUGCCAUUUCGGAGUGUGGGCGUGUAUUUAUUUCAAUUGGUUCAUAAGAAAUGUUUGAUUACGUCAACACACCAUGCGAAAAUCUACCUCAUAAAAGAUUUGCACGAUUCAAAAUUCGCUGAAUAAUGAAAAUAAUGUAAAGUCUGUGUUAUAAGAGAUUUAAGUGGUGUUCAUAUCGGUCAAUCUUGUUCAUUCCAAACAAAUGCAAUUUAAUGAACGAUGUGGCAUUGACAAUUUGAAACCUUGGAAAUACUUAAUUUAAGUUUUCUAGAUGUGAGCUGAAAUGGAGAAAUACAAAAGGAUUUUUUUAGUCAAUCACAACUUGUUUGGAUUAGAGCGUAGCUAUUGUUGUUGGAAAAUGAGAGGUUGUGUAAUAUUGAUUUUGAUACAACCAAAACAAGCUGAGGUAUGUGAAUUCUCCCUGACCAUGUGCUCAAUUUAUUUUCAUCUUAUGUCCCUAAUCUAUAUUGUGAGGACUCAAUCAUAAAUUGACUAGUUUUAACUUGGAGGUUAGUAGCGAAAAUUAGUUUGUAAUGCAUAUAGCUAUUGGUAACAUUUUUUCUCAAUUUGUAAUCAUGAGUUCACGUAAGAAGGAAUAUUGUCGUGACCCGAGCUGAGGCCCUAGCCGAGACAGGCUUCCCGAACCAUCAAAGGCCUGAGAGACCCCUAUCUCUGCCAAUCUGUCACGACCCAAGCCGAGGCCCUGGCAGCGGCAAGCAUUCUGGACCAUCAAAGACCUGAGAGACCCCUGUCUCUGCCCAACCCUCUAGUGAUAUUGUGCGCUCUGGGCUCAGGCCCGUACGGCUUUAAACCACGUCACAAGUUAGUAAGGCUUACUUACUUACAUACCCAGCUUGUUCCUGUUGUCAAUGAGUAUCCAGAAGUUUUUCCUGAUGAUCUUCUAGGAGUUUCUCCCAAUAGAGAAAUAGAUUCGGGGAUUGAUCUUCUUCCCAACACUCAGCCUAUCUCCAUUUCACCAAAUAGAAUGGCUCCUGUAGAGUUAAGAGAGUUGAAAGAGCAGUUGGAAAAUCUUCUUGAUAAAGGUUUUAUAAGGCCUAACAUUUCUCCUUGGGGUGCUCCACUCUUGUUCGUGUGUAAAAAGGAUGAUUCACUUCGGAUGUGCAUCGAUUAUCGUUAGCUGAAUAAAGUCACUAUGACGAAUAAGUACCCCUUCCUAGAAUAAAUAUUCGAUCAGCUACAGGAUGCCAAGUAUUUUUCUAAAAUAGAUCUCUAAUCUGGUUACCAUCUGUUAAAAGUUACAGAAUAUGAUACUCCGAAGACAGCUUUCUGAACUCGAUAUGGUCACUUUAAAUUCUUUGUUAUGUCCUUUGGUUUGACUAACGCUCCUGCAGUUUUUAUGGACCAUAUGAAUAGAGGUGUUUAAACCAUAUUUUGAUAUGUUCGUAAUUGUCUUCUUUGAUGAUAUUUUGGUCUACUCUCGAAGUAAGGAGGAGCAUGCUAAUCAUCUCAAGAUUGUUCUUCAAACACUUAAAAACCGUGAGCUGCAUGUUAAAUUCUCUAAGUGUGAAUUUAGGUUGUAGUCGGUUGCAUUUUUGGUCCAUAUUAUUUCUGGUAAAGACAUUCAGGUUUAUUCUCAAAAGAUUGAGGCAGUGAAAAAUUGGCCCAGACCUACUACACCUUCUGAAAUUAGAAGCUUUAUGGGUCUAGCUGGUUACUACAGGAGAUUUGUGGAGGGAUUUUCCUCCAUUGACGCUCCUUUAACUAGAUUGAAUCAGAAAAUGGUCAAGAUUCAAAGGCCGGAGGCAUGUGAUAAGUGUUUUAAUGAGCUAAAAGAUAGAUUGACCUUCGCCCCAGUGUUGAGUUUACAGGACGGAAAUAAAGGCUUCGUGGUUUAUUGUGAUGCUUCAUGGGUUGGUAUUGGUUGUGUAUUGAUGUAACGUGGUAAGGUUAUAGCCUAUCCCUCCAGAAAACUUAAAAAUAAUGAGAGGAAUUACCCCCUACAUGUUGAUAUUUUCACUAAUCAUAAAAGACUCCAAUAUGUUUUCAGUCAGAAGGAGUUGAAUCUCAGGCAGAGAAGGUGGCUUGAGUUACUCAAGGACUAUGAUUUAAGUUUUCUCUAUCAUCCUGAUAAGGUGGGGAAAACCUCAGUCCUGAGUAUAGACAAAUCUCAUUCGGUGGGGCAAACCUCAGCGAGGACGCUGAGUCCAUAAAGGGGGUGUAUGUAACACCUCAACUUAGGAAGGAGUCCCACAUCGGCAAAACACAGGAGGGAUACUGGGUAUAUAAGUAAGCAAGUCUUACAAACUAGUAACGCGUUUUAAAGCCGAGGGCCUGGGCCCAAAGUGGACAAUAUCACUGAUGAGUUGGGCAGAGACAUGGAUCUCUCGGUCCUUGAUGAUUCGGGAUGCCCAUUCUGGCCAGUUACUUGGCUUGGGUCACGACACAUAUCCUGUUAUAACAUGUUUGUAGUCCUUCGUUUUCACCCAGAUGGUCCAAAUAUCAUUCAAAUUUAGUAAAGAAAAUAAUCUAAAGAGUAACAGGCCUUAAAACUACAUAUAAUGAAAUUCUAACAAAAAGUCUUAGAAAUUUACAUCCCAACAAAGCUUAUACCAUAAAAGUUGAUUUAAUACAGUAAUAUAAUUACCAUAAAAGUUGAUUGAGUUUAGUACAGUAAUAUACUUACUUAUACAACUGGAUUGUUGUACACCUAAUUAAUUUCUUAUGAUUAAUUUACAUAACAUUACUAUGUAUAACUAAGGUUUAAUCUUUCAAAGCCUGUUCAAAGUUUAUUCUUCUUCAUCAUCAUCUUUAUCAAUGGUUGAGUCUCUUUAUAGAGAUCAAUGACUGACCGAAACUUUAUUUUUCCUUAUUGAUUUAGCCGUGGCCGUUGAAGAAGAAGAUGUCUCCUGUGUAUUUUCCCUGCUUUCUUCGUCAUUAUAAGAAUCUCCGCUAAGCUGAAUUAACUGCAAAGCCGCAUCCAUUUCCAAUUCCGUAGGCAUAUAGUGAACUUUCAUCGAUUUCACCAUUGUUAUUGGAGGAGAAAAUUGAAGGAUAUGGAGUUGCAAUGCAGGGGAGUUGGUUUAUUAAAAAGGAAGCAAUUGGAAUUCUCUUAGCUCUACUUUGAAAAGGAUUUAAGUAGGGGUAAUAUUGUAAAUUCACACUCAUUUUUGUUAAGUAUAACUGUAUAAGGAAGCAAUCGGAAAAUCUUCUAGUUCUACUUGGAAAAGAAGUUAAGUAGGGUAACAUUGUAAUUAACGCUCAUUUUUUACGUUUCACAUCAACCGUCUUUAAAUUUUCAAAAUUGUCUACUUCAAUAUUAAGUGCUUUCUAAACAAUUUAUUCUUAAAAAAGAUAUAUUAUACUUAAGUCUCUUUUUUCCUCACGAAUAAAUUAUGUGUGUUAUAAUAAUAAAUACUCCCCCGUCCCAUUUUACUCGUCCCAAAUUUUCUAAUUUGAUUUCUCAUUUUUCUUGGCAUUUUUCAUUAAUCAAGAUAAGAUAAUUUUUUUUCUUUUUGACCUUUAAUAUUAAUUAUUUUAUCUCCAAAUUAAAUUGUAAUAAUCAUUUUAUAGAGAUUAUAUGGUAAAUAGCCGUGUUAUAAAUUGUUUUUCUUAAUCAAUGUGCAAUGUCAAAUUGAGAUUAGUAAAAUGAGAUGGAGGGAGUAUUAAUAUAAUUAAGCUAAAUCAAUUAUGAAAGUCCAACAACACUUCAUGACUUCAACUUAAUAUCAUGUUUGGAUUAUUAUUUUUAAGUGACUUAAAAGUUAAAAAUCAAAAAGUUAAUUAUGCCUUGCAAUCUACUGAUAAACUUGCAUGUUUGCCUGGACUCUGGCACAAAAAUUCGCGAUGAGCCAUCCGGCAUGUUUACUCUCCAUUCCAAAACUUGUAGGCACCUCAUUCUCCUUAACCAUAUUUGCUAAAAAUAACACCUUCUUCCAAACCCCUUUCUUAUCUGUUGUACUUUAAGAUUGAGUUGGUUAAGGUUGUUUGAGGACUGUUGGAGAUUGAGACUUCAAAUUACCAUGUGUUUAUUGGAGGACUACAACUUUAUAAGUUAUCAUGAAGUGGUGGUUCAGUAUGUCAUAAUAAUGCACACAUUAGGUAUAUAUAUAUAUACACUCAUGCUCCAAGAUAUGAUUUGUACCUUUGUAGGGGUUUUACGGGAAACUUUAUAUUUUAGUCAGGUAAGCUUAGGCAUUUUUUGUUUUAAACAAAUAGUGGGCAUUCAUUUGAUAUUCAUAUUUAUUCAUAGUGCUUGUUCUGAGAGCGUGCCUAAAAUCUAACAUAUCAAAACAUUUUAAAGUGGAACCGAAUGUAAAACGUCAUUAAUUUGAUAUUUGUUUUGUUUAUCUAUUGACUAAUAUUAUCUUCAUAUCUUAAUUAUGUCACCCUUUGAUUUAUCUGAUUACAUAUAUCUGAAUUUUAAGAAUAAUAAGUGGGAAAAUUAUGAAAAUUACAGUAAUGAGUUCUCCCUCAACUUGCAUUCAAUCAAAUUAAAUCCUUUUUCCCUUUUAAUUUCUUUGUAAUUCUACCUUAAGUUGCUCUUAGUGAAAUUAACGGUCCACCACAAGCAAGAUGGGUGUGCUUGUCUGUUUUAUGUUUUACAUUCUCACAUCAGAAUGUACAAAAUAUUGAAUCUGAGUGAUACAUGCUAGAUUAUUUGUAUGAGGAGCCAAAAAUCUAAAUAUACAUCUGAGAAAAGAAUUUAAGGAUGAAAUUUAACAUCUAGAAUUACUUUUUCUGGUCAAAACGAUCACGAUGAUCGAUAUCAGGCUCAGUUGACAUACAAUCUCUUACAGUACAGAAUUGCAUCAGAAAUCGCUUUCUUGCGCCAAACAUCGGUAGAAUGAUCAUUGGAUGGACUUUUUAUAGGGAAACAAGCCUCAUGUGGUGAGUUAAUAUUGCUCCAGUUUUCCACCUUCCUCAAACUCUUAACUCUUCUAGUACUACUACUACUUCUUUGGUUGUUAUCAUUUCCACCCCAAUUGACAACAGAAUAAGAUUUCAACAUUCGACGAGGAGAUCCCUGAAAUAAAGUAUCAGUAGUACUCUUGCAGCUUUGAAUUUCACUUACUUUUCUUUGAAGUUCAUCAACUUUUGCAGUACUUUUUCUUGAACUUGCUAUCCUUUUGGAGAUUGGCCCAACGAAUCCAAACCACUUAACCAAGAUUUUGUGCUAAAACUACCUCCAUUUUUCAAGAAAAUCAACUUGACUAGUCGUGGAAUUUGAAAGUUUAGAUAUUGGUAUGGGAGUAGUACUAGUUGAGGGUACUGAUGAAUUUGUGUUCAAAUUAUUGAAGGCUUCGAGAAAAGAUUUAAUCUUUGAUCUAUCAAGAUAUUGAUGGAUUAUAUAUCCAUCAGAGAAGAUUUCAUCAGCACAAACAGAUUCUGAAACAGGAUGAACAUCAAAGUUAAAGUUUUGUUCUUCUUUUAGGAAUCUUUUCAAAUAAGCGAUAAAUUUUAACUCUUUCUUAGCAUCAUCAUGACUACUAUAAGAGGGUCUAGGGGAUUCUGUUAGGCUAUCAAUGGAUGGUUUUCUGUUCAACAACCAGCUAUAUGAAAAACUCUCUGUGGCAAGAGGUUGUUGGGAAUUUUCCAUAGUGAAUAGUAUACUACAAUACAUCCUCUCGACUUCAUCUGAGGUAGUGGUAUGAUCUGCGUACACUUUAUUUUCCUCAGACCCUACUAUAUGGGAUUACACUCAGUAUGUUGUUGUUGUUAUUGAAUAGUAUACUAUAAUAUGGGAAGAAAGGAAAAGGAAAAUGAGAUGCUUAUAUAAAGAAUUUACAGGUUACUGCUACAACAGAUUAAAACACACUUGUUGUAAAAAAAAAAUUUAAGUUGUCAACGUAUAUAAGUUGAAUCUGCAUAAAAAUAAAUGCUUGGCUGAGAAUAGACAGACUCACGUGAGCUUAUUAUACAGAGUGUGUAAAUUGUAAGUUGUCUCAUCAUUCUUUGAGGAGGAGUUGUUUAUGUAGCAAAAGAUCACAAAAAUAAAACGAAGAAAAAUAUUUAAUAAUUCAAUAAAGGAGACUAUUCAAUGAGGUAAAUCACUUAACUCCACCAAUAAUGCUAUGGUUGUCACAAAUAAACAAAUAAGAAUCUGUCUAAAUCAUAAUAUUGAAAUCUUCCAUAAACAAAAUAAGGAAAAGAAAAUUCUCCCUACUUAUUAAAGGAAGUCAAGAGGGGGUAAAAGACAUUAGUAUCAAUCAAUUGCAAUAUCAUCUAAUUUUAUCAUAAUUAAUUCGUAAAUGAAUAUCUGUCACACUAAACAAGGGCAAAGAGAAAUUAGAAAAUCAAUUAGUGAAAUAGUUCCUCACAAAUAAGGCAAAAUCGAAUCAGGCACAAAAUCAGGAUAAAUGAGUCAAGUCGAUAGACAAAAUGUACCCAUAUUAGGUUUACGAGGUUUGCGACGCAGUAGGCGAAGUAAUAGGGGUGAAUUGUGAUGUAUCUGGAGAUAAGCUACUUUUAUGAGUUAAAAGGAAUUUUUGUAAUUGGUAUAGUGAGAUGUAAUUUUAAGUAAUAAUGGAAAGUUAAGGUAUUGUUUUAAGUAAUUUUUCCUUAAAAAAAUCUAAGUAUAAAGAAGAAUUAUCCACUUUUUAUCAAAAAUAUUUUAGAAUUUUGAAUUAAAUGACUCAAAUCUUCAUAUUAAUAAUAUAAAACUUUUACAACAAUAACAAGUUAAUAUAAUGCAAACCAAUAUUGACUUAGCAUUUUAUUAUUUAGAAUUAAUCCUUACUUUUAUAAUAAUAAUCAUAUUAAUAAUAAUAAUAAAAUAUUUAAUGUCUUUUAAUAAUACUAGAAUUUCUAUUAAAAUUUGGAUCUAGCCCACUUAUUUAAUACCCUUGCAAUUGAAUGAUCAAAAAUAUUUUGCAUACUAGCAAAAACUGAGCUAUAAAAGAACAAAUUAAUCAAGGCUAAAAACCAGCAAAACUAAAUGACUAUAUACUCUCUUUAUAGAAAGUAGAUAUAAUCUUUACCCACACAAAUAAGGGGUAUGAAGGAAGUUAAGUCUGAAAGAAAAAAAAUACCAAAAUCCAUCAAAGGAUUCGAAUAUGUGACCAAAAAUUACGAAAAUAAAAGAAAAAAAAUGCAAAAAUCUUAAAUGUCAAUGAAGUUACCAACUAUUCUCUUUCAAUCAAUUACCUGCCAUUUUUUUCUUCGCGGUCCAUCUCUUCCUGCACAUAUCUAUUGCCUCCAGCUUCAUUCUUUUGAGUUCUUGAAAGCAUUGUUGAUAUUGUGACUCAAUUGUAGAAAGCUCCAACUUUAACUCGACGUUGUCCAGAUCAUCUUUCUCUACUAACAAUAAAAAUGAACGAUUGCUAAAUAAUCUCAUGCAUUUAGAAUAUUUAUCUGUAUCCAUCAAGGUCACCUCCAUCUUUUUAAAUUCAUUUGAUAAUAGGCAGUCUACAUAAUCGCCACCAUUUUGAAGUGACUUACCUUCAUGAUGAAACAAGCCCAUGAACUCUAGCUCUGAUAAGUAUCCACUAGAUCCUUUAGAGAUUAAAUUUGCACAUGUAAAGUAGUUGCCAAAUCCAAAUGAAUUCGAAGAAUCUUCGUGAAAUUCAAGCAUUACGGCUUGAUAAUCCAUGAACAAGGAAGAAGAAAGGAUAGAGUGUAGUUGGGAAUUUUAUUCUUCAUCGUCUGUACAUUACAACAUUGAAGCUAUUUAUAUACUUGAGCUAAGAUAGUGAGCUCAUUUCCAGCUUUGUGACAACUCGUCAUAACUGACUAACAACUUGCCUAACAACCUCUAAUAACUUGUUAUUGCUAACUGACUAAUAAUCGAGAAGCUUCCAUAACCUUCCAUCCAAUAGAAAAGUUAGUUUUGUAUGGUUCUGUACAGUGUGUAUUAUAUCUUGAGAUCAUAUUUUGAGUUUGGAUCAAUAGUUAAAGAACGCCUCCUCAAGCUGCAGGGUGCAAUAUAUUCAGCACACCAAGCUUGCCUAAUUAAUGAGCAAGUUAGGCUUGGCUUAGUCCCUUGGUAAGAAGGUCACCCACCUGGUCAUGAGUGUGAACAUGUAUAGCUUGUAUCAGUCCACUUUUGGUCUUGCUCCUGAUGAAAUAACAGUCAAUCUCUAUGUGUUUUGUUCUCUCAUGAAUCACAGGAUUGUUGGCCAAUUGAAUUGUUGUAUUUUUGUCACUAAAGACUGAUAUGGGCAAGGUAAUGAAAACCUUGAGUUCCUGGAACAAACCAACCAACCAAGUUAUCUCUGCAACUGCUGAAGCCAUGCUUCUGUACUCAGAUUCAGCAGAGCUCCUGGAAAUAGUGUGCUAUUUCUUGGACUUCCAAGAAAUUAAAGAUUCACCAAAAUAAACUUCAUAGCCAGUAACUGAUUGCCUGGUGUUGGGACAAGCAGCCCAAUCUAAGUCUCACCAAUAAGUUAGAGUGGUAGAAUGCUCAGCCUUUACCCAGAUUCCUUGACCAAUAGAUCCUUUGAAGUACCUGACUACCCUGAUAGCAGCCUCCCAGUGUGAUCUCUUGGGAUGUUGCAUAAACUAGCUGAAAUGUGGACUGCACAGCUAAUAUCUGAUCUUGUAAUAGUGGAAAACAUGAUUUUACCCACUCGUGUUUGAUAAGAAGAAGCAUCAGACAAUAAAUUAUCACCUUGUGCACCUGUGGCUGUAUCAUACUCAAGUGAUGUUAACCUUACAUUGGAUUCCAAGAGAGUGAUUGCAGGUUUUGAACCACUAAGACUAGUAUCUGAAAUUAAUUCUAAGAAAUACUUAUUUUUGUUUAAUAUCACCCCUGAAGUAGAAUUGAGGACUUCAAUACCUAAGAAGUAUUUGAGAUUCCCCAAGUCUGUCAUCUUGAAAUGCUGAUGUAACUUGGUUUUUGGUGCAUUAAUCAAUGCUGCAUUGCUUCCAGUAAGGAGUAGGUCAUCAACAUAAACAACAACUACUACUGUGUUAUAACUUUGAUAUAGAAUGAAGAGAGAAUAGUCAUGAGCACUCUGAGUGAAUCCAAUAUCAAGCAAAACAUGAGUCAGUUUCCGAUUUCAUUGUCUAGAAGCCUUCUUGAGGCUAUACAAAGAUUUGAGCAACUUACAAACUUUAUGCUCUCCUUGGCUUUUGAAACCUUCUGGUAGUUCAAUUUACACUUGAUCUUUAAGAUCUCUUUGUAAAAAUGCAUUAUAGACAUCCAUUUAAUUAAGAGGCCAUUCUAUAGAUACUGCUACAACAAUCACACUCCUGACAGUAACCAUUUUUGCCACUGGUGAAUAUGUUUCAUGAUAAUCUAGCCCUUCUUGUUGGAUAUAUCCCUUGUCCACUAAUCUUUUGUUGAACCUUUCCACUUUACCAUUUGCAAGAUAUUUAAUCUUGUAUAUCCAUUUGGAACUAAUAGUGUUCUUUUCUUUGGACAGGUCAACAAUGGUCCAUGUGUUAUUGGCCUCCAAUGCUUGGAUUUCUAACUUCAUAGAUUUCACCCAUCUUUCAUCUUUUAUAGCUUGUUUAAAGUGUUGAGGCUCAGUCAGAGUGGAGAACUUUAACAAGUACCACUAAUAUGCAGGUUUCAGUUUACUGUACGACAGGUUGUUGGCUAAGAGGUGCUUGCAUCUCUGGGUUUUUGAAGCGUCAACAUAAUCAUGCAUCCAUACAGGUGGCCUUCUUGGUCUUGUUGGUCUAUUGGAAGAGGUUUGAGGCAGGGAACGGUCAUCUUGACAUGUUUCUUCAUGAGUGGUGUCAGGUGAAACAGCACCAAGUACUGCAACAUUAGAAGAAGCUUAAGUCAGAGAAGGCUCAUCUUGGCAGUCAGCUUUAGUAUUUGCAUUUGAGAAAGGUACAUCAGGCGGUGUAGCAUCAGCAAAAUCAGCAUCAUCAACGUGAAUAUCCUCUAAAGGAAUAUCAACACCAACUUCAAUAUCUGUGGAUACCAGGAAGUCAUUGAUUUCUUUAUUAGUUUGGGAAGCAUUUGGAUGCUGUAAUUUUGCUUGUGAUGGGUCAAAGCGGAAUGAAUCUUCAUGAAACACAACUUCCCUACUCACUAAUAGUAUUUUUGAGUGGAUGUCCAGUAGCAAGUAACCUUUCUGAGACUCUGAAUAUCCUACUAAAAUGGCAGGUUUAUCUCUUUUAGAGUAAUUUUUACCUCUAGGGACAACAGUCACAUAACACAGACAUCCAAACACCCACAAAUGAGAUAGCCUGGGAUCCUUGGAGAAUAAUAACCGAUAUGGGCUCUUACAACUCAAGACUGAGGUUGGUAACCUGUUCACAAUAUAUACUACAAGUUUCACACAUAAUCCCUAAUACUUGAUGGGCAAGUGGGACUGAAACUUAAGAGCUCUAGCUAUAUUUAAUAUGUUCUUGUGCUUCCUCUCAACCACUCUAUUUUGUUGUGGAGUAUGAGGACAACUAGUCUGAAGUAGAAUACCUUUAUGUGGCAUUGAGUAUCAACUCAGUCCUAUUAUCAGAUCUAACAGCCUUUUUCACCACUCCAAACUGUGUUCUAAUCAUGAAUAUGAAUCUCUUAAUAACUACUAUGGUCUCAGAUUUUUGAUGCAACAGAUGAACCCAAGUAUAUAUACUAUAGUCAUCGACCAUAGUCAAGAAAUAACACUUAUUAUCAAAAGUAGAUGUUAUAUAAGGACCCCAUAAAUCCAUGUAUACAAGUUUAAAACAUGCAAAACAUUUAGUAGUACUUAUGGGAAAUAACAUUCUUGUCUGUUUAGCUAGUGGACAUACAGUGCAUUUAUUCAGUAUAUUUAUAUCACUGUGAUUCAUCAAAAUGUCUAAGUAUCUUAAAACCUAAGGAGCUGGGUUCCCAAGUCUUUGGUGCCACAAUCUGCAAUUGGGAACAAUAGCUUCUGUAAUGAAUCUGUUGUGUUUUGGUCCUACAUGAUCAGUAUUAUUGUCGACACACAAUUUUGGCUCUCCUUUUUAUAAAAAUAAUUUCUCGAUGCUUAGAAUUUUUGAAUUUCUUUUCUUUUUUCUUCUUCUAAAUAUGUUUCAACGUUAACAGUUUGAAAAUGAUAUUUUUUUACUAAUAUCGCACCUCACAAAUUUAAUCAAUAAUAAAUAAAUAAAUAAAUUUUAAAUUAUCAUUUCACUAAUUUUUCUAAAAAGAAUAAAUAAAUAUGUUAGAAUAUUAUAAGCAUCAAAUUUUUGAUAAAAUUAAUAAGCAUCGAUGAAUUAGUCAAGUUGAAAUGGAUCGACGAGAAUUAGAUAAAUUCAUUGAUCCGAUUUGACCAAAUUCUUUAAUUAAAUUUAGCCCUUGGAAAUGUAGGAAGACCAGCCCAAAACUCAUUUUACUAGCCCAAACCAAACCCGUUGGCCCAGCUCACCUUACAACAUCAAAGAACAACAACAUCAGCAAUAUGACCAACACAAUCAUAAAAAUCCUCUCUUCACGUGAAAUUCAACCAAACACACUUCAAUCAUGGAAAGUCCACCGAAAAUUUUGACUUUUGCAGAGCCCAUAAUCUUUGAAAAGGAAAACUUUGGUGCUCAUUUUUCUUCUUCCUCUUUUUUUCGUUUGAUUUGAAUUUUGAAUUUUGUGAUACAUGAAGAAGUCGUUACAACCCUUUUUCCCCAAAAAGGGGAGUCUUCUUCACAAUAAAAGGGUGAAAAAAGAUCAAUUCGCCAGGGGCCUGCUAUUUUUUCCUUGUUUAUUUGAAGUUCGAGUCUUUGAGUUGAAGCCUUAGUUCGUUUCUCCACACAAGGUCAGUAAUCGCUUUCAUCUUCACAUUUUUUGUUUCAGUUUUUUUUUUAGAAAUAAAAUACGAUUGUUUAUAGCUUCUUGUCAUUUAUCUCAACUCUGCCUAUUUGGAUCCGUUUGCUUAUUCUAUUUCUUUUAGGGCUAUGCGUGAAAAUGAUUGACAAGAAUUAAUGUUAUUUAAAUAUUUUUUUUUGGUUAACUCAUCCAAUAUCUAUGUUCUAGUUUGUAUUUAGAGUUUAUUUGGUGUCCUUGUUGUUCUUAUUUUAGUAAGAUUGCCUCAUUUUGAUCUUUUUUUAUGAAUUAAUUAAUUUUAGGCCUUAUGUGGUAUGUUGUUGUUAUCAUCCUGGGAUUUUAUUUUGGUAUUGCGGAGAUUUUAAAUAUAUCUUCAAUGCUAUCAUCAAUACUAAAUACUCUCUCCGUUUUAUUUUAGUUGGCCCUAUGAACUUAGUACUCCCAUUAAGGAAUAAUUAAUAGAAUUUAUUUUUAUCAAAUUAGCCUUAUUAAUUAUGCUUUAAAAUUAAUAUAACUUUGAGUAUUUAUAUUUUUUUAGUCAUUUAAUGAUAUGAGUAGAAUGGAAAAAUAUGUGUAAAAUAAUGUUGAUUUUACAAUUGGGACAAGUAAUGCGAAACAAAUUAUUUUUUUAAAUAAAAAGAGGGUCAACUAAAAAUAAAAAACGGAGAAAAUAUUAAUUAUACUCAUGUCAUUUUUUUCAAAAAUUAAUACGUGUGUUACCAGCUAAUUCCGUUUAUGGCACCAAAGGUGCAUGAAAGGAAAGGGAAAAUAGUUGCAUCUUCUUUUUUUUUUUUUAAUUAAAACGGGUGUUGAAAGAAAAAAAAACAAAUAAUUGCUUUACUUUAUCUUUUUGCAUUAAAAGGGAUUUCAUUUCUUUAUCAAUUAAUUUUAAAGAUUUAUUGAUUUUUUUUUAAAGGAAAAGUUUUUUUAAAAGUCUAACUUCUUUCUUUCUUUCUUUUCAUAAGAUAACAAAUGUUGAGUAGCUUUGCCGUAAAGUAGUGUUCUUCUUUAUUUGAAAUAUUUAACGAGAAAGGAUUACACUUAAUUAAAGUAUUAUUAUAUUGUUAUAAAAUGUUAGGAGAUAUAGGAAAAAUGUUCUAUUGAAAGUUAUGCUAUGAAAGGUUUUUAAAGGAAAGGGUAUUUUAUUUGAUUUUGUCCAAAACUUAUUAUGUUUAUCACUAUGGAAAUAGAAUGGAUUCUUUGUUGUUGUGGAGUUUGACAGAUAACAGGUUUGAAUAUUAUGAUAUGAGGUUUUUUUUUUUAUGAGGCUGAUUCACCUGUUCCUUGACAAGGAUUAAGUGUAUGUUUUCCCCCGAUGAAUUGUUAGAAGUCUUGUUAAUUUACUUUCUUUUUCAUGUUCAUUUGGAUUGAGUUGCCUGUUAUAUGAGCCAAAAGUUGUUUACAUCGCAAAAUAUUUAUUCCCAAAUGUUUGUUCCUUAUAGGUAUAUGCUAAUUUAUUUUCGCGGUUUUAUUAAAAUUUAAUAUUCGAAUAUUCAUGUGGCAUGUAUUUCUUUCCGUUCAUUUUCCUUACAAUUAGUUUGGCACCUAAUCUUAAUUCUUCUUAUUUUUUCAUGUACACUCGGGAGUGUGUUUGGAGUCUCAUGGCAUGAUUACUUAUCUCCUUCUAGCAGUCUAGUGCCUCCUUCCCUAUUUUCAAGCUUCUCUUCUUCCGUAGAAACCUGUUUCUUUUCUUUAUUUUAAUAUUUCGUGCACUAUUAUUUAAAAGUUGUGUUUUUAUAUGUUCUUAUGUGAUUUCGUGUAGCGAAUUUUUAUCGUUCCCGCUUCGCCCGUUAGAUUUUAGACUUAUCAUAAUCACCAGACUUCGACAUUUAACUUACAUCAUUAAAAGUUUUAAAAUUUGUAGGUUAAAAGAUAUACCUUUAGAAUAAUGACCAAGUUUUUUAGAAUCCUUUUAAUACUUAUUUAAUACGAAAUAGUAGCUUAUCUUUAGAAUAAUGUUAGUUUCUUAUUAGGUAAUAAUUUGGAAAUCCUUUAAAUAUAAAUUUGUGGUAGAUAGGCGUAUUAUUGCUUAUUUGGAAAACCGGCUUUACUAAUUUUAGAUACGGCAAAUCAAAGUUUAUUUUUAAUAAAAAAUGACAUUUCGCAAGUCCCUUUUAAGUAUUCCUAAUAACAAUAAAAAAUAUUUUAUCGGAAUAAAUAAUAAAUUCUUAAGUCAUUAUAUAUUUAAACAACUAUAUAAUUUAUUGUAACGCCCCGAUUUUCUGAACCGAAACGCUACACGGUGCCCAUGACCCCGAAGGACCACAAGCAAACCCAUGACUUAUAUCUGUACCUGAGCACUAAAUAUCCAUACUGUAAAAUAUGCGAAAACAUAAUACUGUAAGGCCAUAAGGAUCAAAUCUGAAUAAACAUCUGAUAAAAU